rnacentral:rRNA from 1 species
UACGGAGGGUGCAAGCGUUAUCCGGAUUCACUGGGUUUAAAGGGUGCGUAGGUGGGUUGGUAAGUCAGUGGUGAAAUCUCCGAGCUUAACUUGGAAACUGCCGUUGAUACUAUCAAUCUUGAAUAUCGCGUAGGUAAGCGGAAUAUGUCAUGUAGCGGUGAAAUGCUUAGAUAUGACAUAGAACACCAAUUGCGAAGGCAGCUUACUUCACGAUCAUUGACACUGAGGCACGAAAGCGUAGGGAGCAAACAGG